UAAUUGUGAACUCCUUUUCAU
rnacentral:piRNA from 1 species